ensembl:lincRNA
UUAGGGAUGAGAGAGGAUCAGACGGGAAUAAGAACAUAUAUAUAUAUGGCAACAGCCAGGAAAGACUGUGCUCCCUGGGGGCUGGGGAAACGCGGUGGAGAGGUCAGAGCACAAGUGGAGUCCAGGACUUUUCUGGUGCUGCGUAACACAAUCACCUAAGGGGGACAACUGCUUCACCGCAUUCUCAAAAUAAACCAGGACUUCUGGCUUCUACUCCCAUUGUUCCCAGUGACACAGUGCAAGGCCCAUUUCUCAGGGAAAAUGAAUUUCCACUUUGGGUCUUCUAGGAUGGGUACUCUCAGUUUUUAUUUUCCCACCACUCAUCACCUCUUCGUAGGGGUAAGAAGAUUCUACUCCAGAUCUCUCACCUGUGCUCCCAAGACCCGGAUAUAAAUAACACUAACGCCAAUUUUAAACGAAGUCUAACAACGUUGCUUUUCCUUUUAGUCACAGAUGAAGAAGCAGCCAAUCCUGAAAGGUACAGAUGCGUUGUUUGUCUGGUCCUAGGAAGCAUCUUGUGUACUUUUCUUAAUAUUAGUUUUUGAAGGACUUAGGUUGCAGGGGAAGAGGAGGCGGCCUGGAACCCCUACGUGGUGGUUUCUACUCGGUUUGCAUUCUGCGCAUGCGUCAUAAAAGCCGCUGAGCACUGUGUCUGAGAGAACGCAGUGUCAGAGGAGGUGGGCUCUUGUGACUGAGCCGCAGAACAAGGCACUCGUGGUGCAUGACCUCACAAGGUUACUGAUAAUUCCUAGUCCAGCGGCCACAUGUUUUGUGCCUGCCUUUUAUGGAGUUAAAAUGAAAAGGGAAAGUGGUAUGAUACUGUUUUUCUGGAAUUCAUGCGGUAAAACCACUUGCACAAAUCUCCUUUCCCAUGUGGGUAGGGACGAUCGUUUCAGAGGUCCUGUCCUUAGACACAGACCUACCUCACAACUAGGCGGUAAGGUGUCCUCCAGCCAUAGGGAUACAUCUAUCGCACUGUUUAGAGUCGCUUAUGAAACAACACUCCUCGAUGAGGCGUGGAGAUAUUAUCACCGAGAGCCAUCAGCACUUGAGCUGAUAUCGCUGGGAAGGCGGCGCUGGCGUGGGCGGGCUCACAGGGCCCGUCACCCUGUCACCCUGGCGUGUCUGCUGCCCACUCCCAUAGUUGCACAGAGGCAAUCAAAGCCACAGGCCACAGCUAGACUAAUCCCUCCCACCGAUCGGAUGGGACCCUCACUCUGCAGUUGGAGUGCGCCGCCGGGCCUGCGGGGACACACAGUUCUCAGCGCGGCCGCCGCAGAGCGAGCUUCUGCCUGAGAACUCCCAACUGCUCUGUGGUGCAAAACAUCAGUAAAUGGGAACUGAUUUUUGGUUCAGGGCUUGACACGGUCUGCUGAGUAACCCCCGUGCAGUGACAGUACAGACAAGCCUUUGCUUCCCUGUCCACCAGCAGAAGGUGGGCUUUCCGCAGCUGGGGUCUCUGCUCUGUUCUGGUGAGCCCUGAGCGCAGCAGCGAACUCAGCGGCUCUCUGACCGGAGAGAAGCAGCAGCACACGGCGCGUAACCGUGACGCUGUCCCUCCCAGAGUGGGAGCAGCCCCGAGGAGUACCGAGUCCACGGAUGCGAGCCCCAAAGUGCCACAGGUGCCGAAGCGCAGAGGAGAGGACACCUCCGCCGCGCAGGGCCCUGGGACGCGUCACCCUCAGUGCGCAUCCUGGCUCCCAGGCCGGUAACCGCCCACCAGCUGCCCCUCCUCACCCUGCAGAGGACGAGCGCGGCUGACUCCCUGGGUUCCCAGGCAGUGCCUGUGUCCAGAAGGGCAAGUGUUAAAUCUAGGAUUGGCUCUCAAGCAGAGACAGAUUGUCCUUGUUUUAAGACAACUAUGUACUGAUGGAGAUUCUAGGUAGCCAGUACGGGGUGAGGGGGGACAAAAGGCUUUGGUAUUAGGAGCAGAUUUCCUAAUCGUUAAAGUCAGGGAUGGGGCAGGUCCUUUGUGACAGCUGAAAAUAUAUCCCCCUCCUCCCUCCCUAUAAAUCCUCGCCGACUGGCCUUUGGACCCUUUUAGGGUCUGCUUCUAUAGCUGAUGGCAUAAUCUCUUUUCCUGGAUGCUAAGUGCAGGUCAUGGAGGAACCAAAACUCCAAUUAACAGCAGGGCCUAUUGUCCCAACAGGGUGCUGUGUAGGGGAAAGAAAAGCCUGGCUCCUCCUCAGGAAGCGUGAGGGUGCAGGCUCACACUGAGAAAAGAAGCGAGGAAAGCACCCCAGCCACACUCACAGGGGGAAGCCAGACUCAUGAGUCCAACCUGGAAGGCAACUUUUAAUCUGUGCUAGGCAGAAAGGAUGCCCAAGGCCAGGGUGGUCUGUUUGACUCUAGGAUGAUAAUAUUACUGAACAGAAAAAAGACAAGCAGAGCUGUGCAUGACGUGGUGGCGCACACCUGGAAUUCCAGCACAUGGGAGCUUGAGGUAGGAGGAUUGCCAUGAGUUCAAGGUCAGCCCACGCUACACAGUGAGUUCAGUGCCACUCUGAACUACGAAGUGAGCCCCUGUCUCACACACAAAAAAAUCAGUAUAUCAGCAGUAUCUGACUGGGUAAUGGGAUAAGAUAAAAUAUAGUUUUUUCGUUUCCCUUUCUGAAUAUCUGCACUGACUAAAUUUUGAUUACAACUACUUAGGCUGAGUCCUGAAGUACCAUCAGGGGGACAGAAGAGGAAGGCAACUGCAGGCAGAGGGGAAUAUGCAGAAAAUCAGUGCAGGGCGUUUUGGAGCUUGCAGGCCGGGCUGGCAGAGAGGUGGCAGAGAGGUGGGGGUGGGGGUGGGGGGAGCCAGGCCCAGGGAGGCCGGCUGAUCACGCUGGGAACCAGAAGUGUGUGAGGCUCCUUGGUCUCCUCAGCAGACUGUAUUCUCCAGGAGACCUCAGAGGCCAGUCAUCCCUUCCCCGCACAACUGAGUUAUCUGGAGAGCAGCAAACACCAGGUACUGGUCUUCACUCUGAGCCAGUCAAGCCCAAGGCCCAAUCUGAUGACCCCAGACACAAAUGUGAUGGGUGCUUUCAAAAUGACCAAGUGCACUUUCGUUUCAAGCUGUCAAUGGAUGAAUAUCCAGAAUUCAAACUGUAUACGUGGGUGAUUGUGUGAGAAAAGUCAUUGCUGCGCCUGUGCUGGACAACUUGUCUACCCAGAAAUAAACCUGAAAUAUGCAAGUAUUUAUCAAUGGUCCUUUAAAAUUAUCUGGGUCUCGUUGCCUUUUACCCCCCAUCCCCUUUUCAAACUGAUAAGCAUUUCAUUGUGCUUCUGGUUCAACACCAAGGAGCACUGAAGAAACAAGGUGACUUUUCUAAGCUCCUGUGCUGGUUUCUUGGAAAGAGCGGGGAAGGAAUGCUAAGGAGAUAGGGAGAAAGCUGAAAAAGAGCGGGACACUCUGCAGCCGGCCCCCUCUGCUUUUCACCUUAGGUCCUUUUCCUCCCCCAUUCACAGCUUUCGGCCCUUUAUUUCUUUAACUCCACCACAAUCACACGGAGCUCAAUGGAGGAGGGAUGUGAGCGCAGAGGGAGCUGUCCGCUCAGUGCACAUGUGUGGUCCUCCCCUGUCCAGCGCAGCGGCCUCUGCGCCUUCCGUGCUCCCAGCGCCCUGGAGGCCAGCACCUUGCUCACAACAAGCUCGACACCCUGUGAGUCACACUUGCUGCCUCUUUUCAGGAGCCUAUAGCAAUGUCUCAAGUGGCUCUUCGUCUCUGCUGGCCUCACCACUGGAGCUGCUGAGACAGACAUGGCCUGGCAUGC